GACAGAGCAAGAGAGACAGAGACAGAGAGUGAGUGAGUGAGUGUGUGUGUGUGUGUGUGUGUGUGUGUGCGUUUGAAUUUAAUAAGGUAUAUAC